rnacentral:rRNA from 1 species
UGGAGGAUGAAUAGCAAUAGCUAAUUGUACUAAAUUUUAGUUCAAUAUCGACACUGUCGAAUAAAAUUCUGGGUAGAAUUAUGAUAAUGACAUUGUUUACCCAUGUGUCUUGACCAAAUUGCGUGCCAGCAGUCGCGGUAAUACGUAGAAGACUAGUGUUAUUCAUCUUUAAUAGGUUUAAAGGGUACCUAGACGGUAGAUCAAGCCCUUGCUGAGCAAGAUGGGACUAAUCUGCUAGAGUUACUUACAAGGGGGCUAUGAAGUACUAAUGGUGUAGAGAUGAAAUUUUGUAAUACCAUUUUCCGAAAGGAAAGUUAUGGCACUGGUAAAGGCGAAAGCAUCCCCUUAUGUGAUAACUGACGUUGAAGGACGAAGGCUUUGGAUCGCGAAUAGGAUUAGAUACCCUAGUAGUCAAAGCAGAGAAUUAUGAGUGUCAUAGAUUAGACAUUUAAAUUUAUUCUAUAAAUGAAAGUGUAAGCACUCCACCUCAAGAGUAAUUUGGCAACAUUGGAACUGAAAUCAUUAGACCGUUUCUGAAACCAGUAGUGAAGUAUGUUGUUUAAUUUGAUAAUCCGCAAAACACCUUACCACAAUUUGAAUAAAAAUAUCAUUGAUAUUUUUACAAGCGUUGCACGGCUGUCUCCAGUUAAUGUCGUGAGACUUUGGUUAGAUCCAUUAAAUUAACGCAAGCCCUUACUUUAUUUAAA